rnacentral:rRNA from 1 species
UACAGAGGGUGCGAGCGUUAAUCGGAAUUACUGGGCGUAAAGCGUGCGUAGACGGUUUCGUAAGUCGGGUGUGAAAUCCCCGGGCUCAACCUGGGAAUGCCAUUCGAGACUGCGAGGCUGGGGUGCGGAAGAGGGAAGCGGAAUUUCCGGUGUAGCGGUGAAAUGCGUAGAGUAUCGGAAGGAACAUCAGUGGCGAAAGCGGCUUCCUGGUCCAGCACCGACGUUCAGGCACGAAAGCCGUGGGGAGCAA